AGCACCACUGCAAAAAUAAGGAUAUCAUUAAGGUGAUGCAUCAUAGAGUGAUGAACAAUCUGGAAAAUCAUAAAACAACAUGGUAAAUGGACAAAUAAUAUGUUGUAAUGACCUCGGGAUUCAUAUCACAGAUCAAUUAGAUAACAUUGAGAAAAUUCAAAACAACAACAGUCCCCUUAAGUAAGAACAAAUCAAUGAGAUAUUGGCAAGGCUGAUAACAUUAGGAAAAUUCAAAGCAACAACAGUCCCCUUAAGUAAGAACAAAUCAAUGAACUAUUGGCAAGGUUCACAGAAAUACACAUUUAAGAAAUCUUAUAUUCUACAUCAGACAGUUCCUAGGCAACCAAAACAGAAAUUUCUUAACCUUCAGAUGUUUAAAUUCCUUCACUUCAAAGUUCAGAAAUGCAUCAUAGUCAAGAAUAAGCAAACAUAUUUAUAGAAGCUCAGAACAUACAAAUUUCUCGCAACCAAAAUCAACAACCAAGAGAUUAUUGACUAUCACUAUAAUAUAUAGAUACCAGAACAUUUCUCUUGACAAAAAUCUUGAAGUUAGGUCUUUUCAGAUAGCUAGUUUCCGGUUUCAGUCCUAAACUUCUUGAGUUCACUCAUACUUCAUUUCUAAUUAUAAGAAGUUACUGCUUGUCUUUCACCACACAAAUUAAAGUUGUAUUGCACAUUCAGAAUACAAGUCUUAUAUUUGAGAACUAUUUGAUUAAAUAACAAUCAACUGGAAGCUCAUAAUUAAUUUUGAUACAAAAUAGUACAAGCAUCUUCAGCACAUCGAAUCAACAUAAUACGGUCAGACCUCUCUACGACACCUCUCUACGACAGCAUUCUUAUAUAUUAACCAUUCACUAUAAAAGCCAAGUUUUCUCAAAACCGAUCUUUUAUUCUAUGUUAUAAUAUAUGUCGUCUAUAACUAACACUCCACUGUAGAAUCCAAAAAAUAUCGGAACAAAAGUAGAUGUUAUAGAGAGGUUUGACUAUACAACCCAAUAAUUAAGAGCAAAACUUUUUGUUAAAUAGAAAAUCUAGAACAAAAGAAAGUA
rnacentral:lncRNA from 1 species